rnacentral:rRNA from 1 species
CGGACGGGUGAGUAAUGUCUGGGAAACUGCCUGAUGAGGGGAUAACUACUGGAAACGGUAGCUAAUACCGCAUAACGUCGCAAGACCAAAGAGGGGGACCUUCGGGCCUCUUGCCAUCGGAUGUGCCCAGAUGGGAUUAGCUAGUAGGUGGGGUAAAGGCUCACCUAGGCGACGAUCCCUAGCUGGUCUGAGAGGAUGACCAGCCACACUGGAACUGAGACACGGUCCAG